GAAACGUUGGCAUUUAUCAAUGGAUCAAAAUACGAUGAAAAUCCAUACAUAGCUGUUUGCCCUUUGAAUCUACCGAGAGCCUUCUACAUGACUCCACAUGAAUCAUCAGGAGAUAAAGAAUCCUAUCCGUACAGAUUUACGGGGAAAAAA